rnacentral:tRNA from 4 species
AUGGUUUAACCCCUUCCCUUACUA